rnacentral:rRNA from 1 species
AUGACUUCUAGUGAGUUAGGUGCCACGACAAUUGUAGAACACACAGUGUUUAAAAUAAAAUGAAUGAACG